AUUCGCCACGCCUCUAUAACCAUAGACGUAUCACAAAUGCUACUGAUCUAAUUCGAGGUUUGGCUACGUCGCUGUUCAAAGCAACAAAGUGCUCAUAGUUAGAGUUGUGGAAAAAUUUGAAAUCAUUUUCUUGAUUUUGGUGUCCUAACUAUCCAGACAUCUUUCCGAUUUCAAAGGAUCUGACGAAAGAGGUUAUGUUCUGUUUUCAAAGGUGAGCUGUUCGUGUUUUUUAAUUUCUGCAUUUUAUUGCUU